UACGUAGGGUGCGAGCGUUGUCCGGAAUUAUUGGGCGUAAAGAGCUUGUAGGCGGUCUGUCGCGUCUGCUGUGAAAAUCCGGGGCUCAACCCCGGAUCGGCCGUGCGGACUGCCGGGCUCGAGCACUGUAGGGGCGGGUGGAACUCCGGGUGUAGCGGUGGAAUGCGUAGAGAUCCGGAAGAACACCGGUGGCGAAGGCGGUGAGCUGGGCAGUUGCUGACACUGAGGCGCGACAGCGUGGGGAGCAAACAGG
rnacentral:rRNA from 1 species